CCUUAGAGCGCCUCAAGGCUUACACUUGCCUCAUGGAGAUAAAACACGUGAAUAUCCAAAUUAGCCUUUUUAAACAUUGCAAGAAAGAACUUAUAAGAAUAGACCUAAGAGAGGAAUUUAUAAGAUGUUGAGCAGCAACAGAUAUGACCAGGAAUUUCAUUGCCGGUGGAGGGAAGCCAAAUUUCAUUAUGAAACUACAAAUAUAUUUCCUUUGUGUUUGCGGCUUUGUCCACAGAUUAGCUCACAAUAUUCCAUGCUAAUUCAGAUAUAGGCUUUUAAUGAUUAAAAAACGCUUUGGACUCUCAUAGAAUGUUCGUAAGAGGAGGGGGGAGAAAGAAAUCUAAUUUUAAUAAAUCAACUGAUGACUGCAAUAAGUAGACUGAUGAUACGAUAGGAAUCCCCUUAAUGGGUGGUCAAUGCUAAUAAUUUACCCAAUUAGUGGGCCAGCCACAUCAAAUUAUUAAGAGAAACCAUGAAGAAUCACAGAUAUCUGUAUGAUGGCAAUUGACAGUUUUUUUUAGUUUAUUGCACAAAAACAAGCAAGAAAGGACACGAGUUUCUUAUCUGGUUUUGUGAUGGAAUGUAAAAAAGCACAUCAUACUCUCAUAGUGUGAAUAUUUUCAUUACAUCAUUCAUUUGCUAUCGCUUUCAUAUUGCUGGUUCUUUGUUGACUAGUAGAAAAUUUAAUCAACUUCCCCUUUCUAGAGGUCACUUGUGAUGCUUUCAAAUUAUAAAGCAUAACAGACCAACAAAGAACUCAAGGCAUUCCGGUCAAGUUCUUAUUUUAAUUCUCCUUUUGAAAUUACUUUAUUAUCUAAAAUCUGGUAACCAGGUCUUCCAACUUCCAAUUAGCUCUUUUCCAAUAACUCAUUUUCCCGAAAUCACCAAUGUCCAGACCUACUAGUCAAAUCAAUAAAAAUAGCAAUCAACUACAAACGCCAAAAAAAAAAAAAGGCAUAUCUAUGGUGCAAACACUAAUAUCAACUUUUUAUGUGUAGCUACUAAUCAGAACAGCUCUCAAUUAAAAUUUGACUAUUUCAUUAUAACUGCAUCCCUUUCGAUAAUUACGAAGUCCUUUCCC
rnacentral:lncRNA from 1 species